rnacentral:rRNA from 1 species
GACAGAGGGUGCAAACGUUGUUCGGAUUUACUGGGCGUAAAGAGCGUGUAGGCGGCUUUGCAAGUCGGAUGUGAAAGCCCACGGCUCAACCGUGGAAGUGCAUCCGAAACUGCAUGGCUUGAGUCUCGGAGAGGAAGGUGGAAUGCUUGGUGUAGAGGUGAAAUUCGUAGGUAUCAAGCAGAACACCUGCGGCGAAGGCGGCCUUCUGGACGAUGACUGACGCUGAGACGCGAAAGCGUGGGGAGCAAACAGG